GAUGAACGCUGGCGGCGUGCCUAAUACAUGCAAGUCGAGCGAACGGACGAGAAGCUUGCUUCUCUGAUGUUAGCGGCGGACGGGUGAGUAACACGUGGAUAACCUACCUAUAAGACUGGGAUAAUUUCGGGAAACCGGAGCUAAUACCGGAUAAUAUUUUGAACCGCAUGGUUCAAAAGUGAAAGACGGUCUUGCUGUCACUUAUAGAUGGAUCCGCGCUGCAUUAGCUAGUUGGUAAGGUAACGGCUUACCAAGGCAACGAUGCAUAGCCGACCUGAGAGGGUGAUCGGCCACACUGGAACUGAGACACGGUCCAGACUCCUACGGGAGGCAGCAGUGGGGAAUCUUCCGCAAUGGGCGAAAGCCUGACGGAGCAACGCCGCGUGAGUGAUGAAGGUCUUCGGAUCGUAAAACUCUGUUAUUAGGGAAGAACAUAUGUGUAAGUAACUGUGCACAUCUUGACGGUACCUAAUCAGAAAGCCACGGCUAACUACGUG
rnacentral:rRNA from 1 species